ensembl:lncRNA
UUAAAAGUCCCCCUUCCCCCACCCCCAGUCAUCAGAGUUGGGAUCUCUGCCCAGCUCUUCCCUUUUCCCCUUGGACCUUUCCAGCCCUGUGGUUUUUGAAAACAAUUUGGACCCUUCCAGAGCUUGGGAGAGGAGGCCUGGGCCCUGCUCUGGCCCUCUCAGUGGUGAUGAAGAAGUGGAAGCACCAAGUAUAGAAGUGGCUUGCUGGAUUUAUUCAUCUUUGGGCCAACUAAGAUAUCCACUGGCAGCUUUUGACCCUCUGUUCAGUCAGAGUCUUGAUUUGUAGCCCAGACUGGACUGGAAUUUGCAACCUUCCUGACUCAGCCUCCUGAGUGCUGGGAUUACAGACCCCAGGCCAGGCUCUGGGCUACAGCUGGAGCAAGGACGAGACUUUGGCUUCAAGAAAUCCCUGGAACAAUAACUUGCAGCUGAGCAGCACAAUUGUUUAUGGUUUGUGGUCUGUGAGGCCCUUUUCCAUAUCCUGUCCCGUGAUCCUGGUGUCGGACGGGCCGAGGACGAGACACUCAGAAACAGACUCUGAGGACAUCCAGGAGGAUGAAGACCCCUGGGUGAGGCCCAUGGGCAUCAGUAUCUGGACUCCUUCCCAGUGCUCCUUCCCAAGGGCCACACUACCCAGCAUGCACUGGGUGCUGACCUCAGAACACCACAUGGGGCUCCUUCUUCUGUCUGGCUCAGAGUUUGGGAGGUCCUGCUGUGGCCCCAGUGCCACUGGGAUGUCCUCCUUGUCACUGUCACUUGGGGCCCUGGGAGCUGGAGGUGCCUGAACUGUGUCCACUGCCUCCACCACAGGGCCGAUAAAGAGUGACCACAAUCCUUUUGGGCCACUUUCUUGGUCAAAAAAGGAAUGUGGUCUUGGGUGAAAGGGGACGAUAUGGAGAGAACACCACUGAGGGACUUGGUCACUGUGGGGGAGGGGGAGUCCCACCAUCAGGUGCCUGGGUCUGUGAGGCUCCCUCUCCAGCCAUGCUUUGCUCUGGUGCAGCCUCCUCCUGAUUCAGAGGCCCUGGCUUAGCAUAGCCGCACCCACCACCUGCUCCUGAGGCUGCAGCUGGUACUUGUUUUGCAUAUGGGGAGUCUCACUUGGUUUCAAGGGCGGCAGACCUGGAUGAUGGGUUUAUUUGGAUUGCAAUCCCAGGCAGCUUAGGUAAAGGAGUGAGCUGGGGACACAGGGAAGGGAAGCACGUGCCAUCCAGCAAAUUCCUGCUGCUGGCAACUGGAGUUUGGCCUUGCUGGGGAGUCCUAAAAGCCAGUGGAGAGCAGCGGGUCUCAGUUGUCUACCCACAGGCAAGGGAGGAGGGCACUGAAGGACCGACUCCCAUCAGAUAGCUCAGUCCUGGCAGCAGUGUCUACCCAGGAAAUGUCCCAGGUGCUGGCAGUAGGAAGCCCAACUGGGUCUCAUCAUUAGCAUCCUAAAGGGUUGCACUGUUAAACACUUGAAAACUUAUGACAUAAGCCAAAGCCCCAUUUCACAGAUGGGCUGAUAGUCUUAGAGAUGAGAAGGGGUUUGCCUCAGUUUAACCUGAAAAUUAAGAAAAGAAUCAGGAUGGGAAUCCAGAAUCUACAUCUCCAGACUGUCAGUCCAGCAACUUAAAAGAAAAAGCAAAAUUUAAAAAUUUUGAUUUAAUCAUAGACACAGGAAGCAGCAAAGAAAAACGUAUGGGGCGACACUUCCAGGCAUCCUUCACACAGCCUCCCCUAGUGUUAACGUCUUGUGCAACCAUAGUGAGAUGCCAAACUGGGAAACUUACAGUACAAUCCACAGAGCUUCUCUAGAUUUUACCAAACAUCCACUUGUCUGUGUGUGCAUGUGUGUGUGUGUAGUUCUAAGCAAUUUUAUCACUUAUGCCACUUUAUGUAUGCAUAGUCACAACCAAGAUAACCAACUGCACCAUCUCCCAAGGCUCUUGUUCAUAGCCACCUCCUAACCCCCAUUCCUAACACCUCCACUUCUCUAUUCUCCAUCUCUAUAAUAAUGUUAUUUCUUGAGUGUUAUGUGAAUGGAGUCAUGUAGUAUGUGUCCUCUUAAGAUUGGCUUGUUUUACUCAGUAUACUUUUUUUUUAGUUCAUCCAAGCUGUGUGCAUGCAUAGUUCAUUUCCUUU